rnacentral:rRNA from 1 species
AUACGGGGGGUGCAAGCGUUAUUCGGAAUCACUGGGCGUAAAGGGCGCGCAGGCGGUUUGGUAAGUCAGAUGUGAAAGCCCGGGGCUCAACCCCGGAAGUGCAUUUGAUACUGCCUGACUUGAGUAUGGGAGAGGGAAGUGGAAUUCCUGGUGUAGAGGUGAAAUUCGUAGAUAUCAGGAGGAACACCGGUGGCGAAGGCGACUUCCUGGACCAAUACUGACGCUGAGGCGCGAAGGCGCGGGGAGCAAACAGGAUUAGAUACCCGAGUAGUCC